GCGGAUAUGGCGGAAUUGGUAGACGCGCCAGAUUUAGGUUCUGGUUUCGCAAGAAGUGAAGGUUCGAUUCCUUUUAUCCGCA
rfam:Chamaesiphon minutus PCC 6605, complete genome.